rnacentral:rRNA from 1 species
UACGUAGGGGGGCAAGCGUUGUCCGGAUUUACUGGGCGUAAAGGCGCGACGUAGGCGGUCCUUUAAGUGUGGCCUGAAAGCCCCCGGCUCAACCGGGGAAGGUGGCUGCAAACUGGGGGACUUGAGGGCGUGAGAGGAGUGUGGAAUUUCCUGGUGUAGCGGGUGAAAUGCGUAGAUAUCAGGAGGGAAACACCCCGUGGCGAAGGCGGCACUCUGGCACGACCCUGACGCUGAGGCGCGAAAAGCCCAGGGGGAGCAAAACGGGG